GCAAUAAUGGCCCUUAUUUACCUGGGAUACUGAGUGUCCCUUGUCUUUCAAAGAAGGGCAAGCACAUAUGAGACUUAACAAUUUCUGAAAACAGGCUCCAGUCAUUUAUGUCACCUAGGUGUUUUUAAAACUCUUAUUCAAUAUUAUCAUUGACUGUGGACAGAAUGUUUUACAUUAUCAUGUUAUUUUGUUGUAACAACAUUUAAAAAAUAACAUAGCUAACAAAAGUUAUUAAACAUAUUAAAAUAGGAAGUAAUGCACAAGAUUCUUAGAACCUGAGUGUACCUGAAUUCUGCUCUGCAGAUCCUGGGUCCCUCCAGAGACUGUUUAUGCCAGAUUUUGUAGAAUGGAGAGCUGAGAACUUGGAUGACACUGCAAAAUUCUUUUUACUUUGAAUCCAGGUGUCCAAAAGUUAAAAAUUAAUGUCUUCAUCUGCUUUGUCAACUAACCUUCAAAAUGUUGUCCUGUGAUAAGAAACAGCACAUAACUGCAACUUUAUCUUAAGAUUAGAGCUGAUUUUGAAGUAUGUUUUCUGCUGGUGCUCUGUGCAGAGUGCUGUACUUAGACAGGAGGAGAUUUAAUAGGAGAUAAGCCGUAUUGUUACCAGUAUGGCAUGAUUUCCAGUAGCUGUGGAACAGAUUAGGGUCAUCAGCAGAGAGAACAGCAGAGCUUUACCAGCACAGCCCAGUAUGGCUUACACAGGCAGAGAAAGGAGAUAAAUCCACAGCUAUCAAAGUGUCAUCUCUUCAAUCUACCUGGACCUACUUGGUCUCACUUUUGUGGCCUCCCUGGACCCCUCCAGUGUCAAGACUUCAGCCUCCUUGGAACUCUUUAAAAUCUUUUCAGAUCCUUUGGAUUUAUCCAGUCUGAGCACUUUGUCUUCUGUGGACUCCUCCAGUCUCACUUCUUCAUCUUCUCUGGACCUUUCAAGUCUCACACCUUCAGCCUCUUCAGACUUCUCCAGUACCUCCUCAGAGCUCUCCAGUCUCACCUCUUCAGAUUCCUGGGAGCGCUCCAGUUUCACCUCUUCGAUUUCACUGGACCUAUCAAGUCUCACUUCAUCAGAGUCUCUGGAUCUCUCUGGCGACAGUUCUUCAAUCUCCUUAGAUCUCUCAAGUCUCACCUCUAUACCCUCCCCAGAUUUCUCCAGUCCUACUUCUUCACCCUCUCUAGACCUUUCCAGCUUCCCUUCUUCAUCCUCUCUAGAUGUUUCCAGUCACGCCUCCUCAUCUUCCUUGGACUUUCCCUGUACAGUGCCUUCACCCACACUAAGUGUCUCAGACACCUCCUCAACCUCUUCAGAAUCACUAGAUCUUACUGAUUUUAACUAUUUCAUGUUUCAGGGCUCCUCUGAAUUAUCCUCAUUGGCCUCUGAGGAUGUUGCUAAUCUCAUCUCUACACCCUUUCUGGAUGUCUCCAAUCUCACCUUUCAGGAUGCUUCUUCCCUCACCUCCUCAGUUUCUUUGGACAUUUCUAAUCUCACAUCUUUAGUUCCCCCAGACCUAUCCACUGUCACAUUUCUGGAUGUUGCUAAUUGCACCACUUCAGCUUCUCUUGAUCUCAGCAUCUAA
rnacentral:lncRNA from 1 species